GUAUAUGUUGAAAAAUUUCUCCAUCUUUUCAGAGACAAAACUGAAACUUUGAUGGAACUAUCUGAUGAAAAGCGAAAUGAAAUAAAAAAGGCGGAAAGUGCAAGGUUCGUAUCCUAAUGAUUCAUUGGUAUUUUAGUUGAUUCUUCGUAUGUUUAGUAUAGUGUGUUGUAACAUAUGCAACUACAUUCACUGUCCUUCUUGAUUUGUAACAAGAACUGCUGAUGCCGUAAUCCAGAGUAUGCCCGUUCGCAGGUUAGGUGCUGGGUACGAGAUUGAAGUAUGUACAGAUGCAUCCUCGUUCUCAGGGCCUCUCGGCCGCGCGCGACCUUCAUGGUCCCUGGGAUACAUGGAACCGGAAGUGCAAGAAAACUUGCAGUAGUUUCUAAAGCGCAUACUCUUGAAUUGGGACGCUUUAGCACCCGUAACAAUUUUCGACUGAGAGAAGUAUUACAAAGAAACGAAGUAUUUCUGUUGACAUAUUUUGAUAGAAUAAUUUUGACUACCCCCAAAACGACUCAACUUCUGCGAAAUAGCAGUUCUCUGAGAAGCCAAUCAGAUCUCUCCCUUUAGUCGUCUAACCCAGAGCCUAAUUUUCAACGAGUGAAAAUGGCUCUGGGAACGAGAAUGGUACAGAUGUGUAACUUCAAUAAAAAAGUUGUCCAACGGUCGCCAACUUCCUAGCAAGUGUCGCUCGCGUGAUAAUUCCGUCAUUUGGUGAUACGUCUUGCUUUCAGAAAUGCUUUAAUAAGACCUUUUCAACAACUUUAAUUGCUUUCAACAACUUUAAACAUUCAACAUUGAUUGUUUAAUCCAAAAAUUUCGAUCCAAAAAAGCCGCAAUAGCAAGUGUCAUGGCGUGAGCAUGACGUGUACAUCUAGGGAAAUUUGAGGACACGAAGUCCUAUGAAGUUACACAUCAGUGGGGCCGGUUGUUCAAAGGUGGGUUAGCGCUUGCGUUAAAAUUUAACCUGCUGUUUUAGUUUGUGUAUUUCUGCAUGUCUGUUUAUUUUAACACGUCAGAGAAGUAAACUCCUACUGAUCCAGACAAGAUCACUGAAGAAAUAUUUUCAAAUUUACAGACAAGCUGUCACGAAGUUUGCUUUGAAUUUUAGGUUAACCUAGGGUUAAACUAACCCAGCUUUGAACAACUGGCCCCUGGUAUAUACUUAAUCUGUGCCUGUGCGCUUACGGGAGGCAUUCACCUGAAUAUUUUCAGAGGGGUGUGAAUUCCUCUUGUAAGCGCACUGGCUAUAGGAACGUGGCGACUGCAUUGCAACAGUUACGCCAAAAUCAUGGGCGUGGCCAAGAAGUCGACGUUCUGUAUGUCUCUAUUCUGUGUCCGUGUUGUCAAAAACUUCGUUUGCUUAUUAAACUCGUGGGCGUGACCAAGAAGUCGACGUUCUGUAUGUCUUUGUUCUGUGUCCGUGUUGUUGUAACGUCCCUUGCUCAUUAAACUCGCGGGCGUAGCCAAGAAGUCGACUUUCUGUAUGUCUUUAUUCUGUGUCUGUGUUGUCAAAAACGUCGUCAACUUUCUGUUUGUCUUUAUUCUGUGUCCGUGUUGUCAAAAACGUCGUUUGCUCAUUAAACUCGUGGGCGUAGCCAAGAAGUCGACUUUCUGUAUGUCUUUAUUCUGUGUCUGUGUUGUCAAGAACGUUUGCUUAUUAAACUCUUGGGCGUAGCCAAGAAGUCGACUGUCUGUAUGUCUUUAUUCUGUGUCCGUGUUGUCAAGAACGUCCCUUGCUUAUUAAACGCGUGGACGUAGCCAAGAAGUCAACUUUCUGUAUGUCUUUAUUCUGUGUCCGUAUUGUCAAAAACGUCGUUUGCUUAUUAAACUCUUGGGCGUAGCCAGAAGUCGACUGUCUGUAUGCCUUUAUUCUGAGUCCGUGUUGUCAGAAAUGUCGCUUGCUUAUUAAACUCGUGGGCGUAGCCAAUAAGUCGGCUUUCUGUAUGUCUCUAUUCUGUGUCCGUAUUGUCAAAAACGUCGUUUGCUAAAAAGCUAACGUUCUUUCUACGUUGUAGAUCCGCGACCACCCUGAGCAAAACAUCGUACAAACCGAAAGAAAAAGCGCUAAAAAUUUACACCGAUAGAUGAAUGGCGCAAAACUAAACGGAAUAAGAACAGGACCUGCCAGUUACAAGGUUUUGGUAUGUUUUAAAAUCUCCACAGAACCGAAAUCACAAGGAUGUAUAUAGUCAAUUAUCUUGGAGAUAGACGUCUUUUGUUGGGUACACGCGAAAGUUAAAAGGAAUAUGGCAAUUGAAAUUUAGUUUGUUUCAUUUGAAAGAACUUUUAAAAUUAUGCGGAAAACUAUUUUACAAAAUAUUUUGACUAAAAUCAUCAUAAAUCGGUGAGUUGGCCGCCAUCUUGGAUUAUUGUGGAUAUGCACGUUACGUCACAAGUAGGGACACGUAAAUAUUUUACCCAGAUAUACAAUGGUCAUUAUUGGCCCAAAAUUAUACUUUGGUCAUUAUUUCAAAAAUACAUCCUUUCGAUAAUUACGUCACAGCUACACUGUUUUCAACUUAGGACCACCUUAAAUGGAAAGGAUUUCAAGUUUUUUUCUCAUGGGCUACGCACAGAGAAGCAGAACAUCCUUCUUCAACACGUGCAUGAAAAUGAGAAAAAAACUUGAAAUCCUUUCCAUUUAUAUGGGAGUAGUUUUUCAUGGCUAAAAGCUUGUUUAUACUAUCAAAGUUUGUGUGAUCACAGUAUUCGAAGGAUUUGUAAGAAAUGUUUGAGGGAACUCACUCAAUGUUAAACACUUGAGUCAGUUCCCUCAACAUUUCUUACAAAUCAUUGGCAGACGAACAAUAAUUAACAAUUAUUCGCCGAAGCUAGGCGAGGUGAUUAUCGGUGAAUAAAAACCGAGACGAAGUCGAGGUUUUUAUUCACGAUAAUCACCGAGCCUGAGGUGAAUAAUUGUUUAUUAUAAUUUCAUAGGUGAUUAUUUGGGAAAAAAUAAGAAAAUACACAUUUCUUCGUCAUUUAAUUGACAAAAAGGCUUCGGCCGCCAUUUUGAAAAUCGCUUAGGUGAUUAUCGCGUGAUAAUCACCUCAACGGCAACCAAUCAACGUGGAGAAUUUUCAAUAAUCACCUAUGUAAUUAUACUAAAUGCUGAUAGUUCGUCGGAUUAUUCGUCCCGUCUUUAUACUAGACGAAUAAUAUAGAAGACGGAUUAUGCGUCCAAUCGCAUAAUGCGUCUCUAGUAUAAAAACGGCCAUUCAGAACUUAGAAUUUACCCAUAAGACUAAUCCAAGAUGGCGGACAGGUCAUUGGUUUCUGCCACAAUUUUGAACGUUCACAUGAGACAACCUUAAUUUAUCUGUCCUGUUCUGUCGACUCAACCAGUAGAAUUAUUCCUGGUACGUAUUAAUUAAAUGACCAAUUUCCAACCAUGUAGUUAGACGUAAAGUGUAUAGACAUAUAGGCGUACGGGGGGGGGGGGAUAAAUUUGCCCGACUAUUUUUAAAUUUUGCUCGACUUAUCGAAAAAUAUUAUCCGUUUAAAAUCCCCAAAUUAUUGUCGACGGGGAAUUAGAACAUUUUCCAAGCAGUUAAAAUCUUUCAAAACUUUGCACGUUUCUUGCAUUUUCGACUAUUAGAUAUUUCCCCCAUCACUCUGCCCAAUUUCACUGGUGGACUGUUCCCUGCCCCCUCCCCGUACAGCCGCCUCGUACAGUCGUACGCUUAUGUCCACAAAUACUUAAUGCACUAGACACUUCAUUUGCACAAAUUUGAAAUCAUAGCUGAUGUAGCAUAUAAAUAUACCGCAGAUUAUUGUAAUUUUGUUCCAUUAACGUUCGUUUAAAAACAAGAUUGGUUUGCUUUGUUGUAAUAUUGUAAUAUUGUAAUAACAUUAGACUUCAACUGAGUUUUGACCUUAGUUGACCAACCUCUGAAUCGCAAUGCAUUGUGGACUAUGUCUAUGGGGGCAGGUUUCAGGAAACUUUACAGAGCAGUAGAUGGUAGUGAAAUGUUGAUACGUUGCAAGAAAAUUUAACUACAUCUCUCCAUUUAUUUACUUCCAAGUAAACACUACUGCAUUGGCCAGACUGCGUAAGCCUGGUUUUCAUAUGGUCUUAACGGUCGUAAAGAUUGAGACACGAUCUUUCUCAUCAGCCGAGGUACAACAUUUUAGAACUGAAAAUACGCGGAGUGAUUAUAACUAGAGAAUACUUAUGAUUUAUAUGUGGUUUACAGGUAUAAACUAUAAUAAACUGACCGUUGAGAAAGAUCGUUACUCUAUUUUUACCACCAUAGAAACCAGGCUCAUUGUGAAACAUGAUAAGCAAUGUCAUGUAAUUUUCAUAUAUACUCUUACUAUUAUAAUAAUAUAGAUGAAAAAAUUGCUCAAUUCUACUGAUUAGUCGUCAUACACGCACGAGUGAGCACAAAGACGAAAUAACGUCAACGGACAUAAUUGUGCAUGAAUGUGUUCAGAGAAGUUUCUACCAACGGAUAUGCGUCAAGAUGAGAAAAUCAUCCUCUCAUCCAUACUGUAAAAGAAGCUUCACGCAUCAGUGAACGAAAACAAGACUAAACGAGACUUAACUUUCUAGAAGACUCCGUGGCGCCGCGGCUGGGAAUGUGAUCAGAGAAGUUUCUACCAACGACUACGAUAUGCGUCAAGGUGACAAAAUCAUCUUCUGACCAAUACUAUAGAAGUUGUUUCACGCAUCUGUGAACGAAAACAAACUAAACGAGACUCAACUUUCUAGAAGACUCCAUGGCGGAAGGGACAGAAUUGUGCAUGAAUGUGGUCAGAGAAGUUUCUACCAACGACCACGACGUAAAGGAUAUGCGUCAAGAUGACAAAAUCAUCCUCUGACGAAUACUAUAAAAGAAGCUUCACGCAUCAGUGAACGAAAAUACGUAACGAGACUCAACUCUCAGGAAGACCCCAUGGCUGAAGACGCUGCUUUAACGCGCUGAUACAAAGACGACAACAUGGAUAUUUUGUGGAUAAUCGACUGGACUGAUAUAUUACAAUGAUGAACUUCUGUACUGUUGCUAUGAAGUUGCAAUGCUCACUCGGACAGAUAAGUUUUACUGUAUAGAUUAAUUAACCAUAUAGCUUAAUAUAACUAAUGCUUUGCUAGUAAAAUAUAC